rnacentral:rRNA from 1 species
UGGGGAAUAUUGGACAAUGGGCGGAAGCCUGAUCCAGCAAUACCGCGUGUGUGAAGAAGGCCUGAGGGUUGUAAAGCACUUUCACUGGGGAGGAAAAAGGUAAUCUUAAUACGGUUGCCCUUGACAUUACCUAGAGAAGAAGCACCGGCUAACUCCGUGCCAGCAGCCGCGGUAAUACGGAGGGUGCGAGCGUUAAUCGGAAUUACUGGGCGUAAAGCGUGCGUAGGCGGUAAGUUAAGUCAGAUGUGAAAGCCCUGGGCUCAACCUGGGAACGGCAUUUGAAACUGGCUUGCUAGAGUUAGGUAGAGGGGAGUGGAAUUUCAGGUGUAGCGGUGAAAUGCGUAGAUAUCUGAAGGAACACCAGUGGCGAAGGCGGCUCCCUGGACCCAAACUGACGCUGAGGUACGAAAGCGUGGGUAGCAAACAGG